GAGGAGAAGAAAUACUGCGUGCCAUAAUAGCUUACCAACUCGUGAGAACUUGCACAAGAGGAAAAUCGCACCCGAUCCCCUUUGCCCGUCUGCCAACAAGUCCGAGAAACUCUAGAGCACUUAUUUCUGCUUCGCG